rnacentral:rRNA from 1 species
CCUACGGGUGGCAGCAGUGGGGGAUAUUGCACAAUGGGGGGAACCCUGAUGCAGCGACGCCGCGUGGGUGAAGGAGUGCUUCGGCAUGUAAAGCUCUAUCGGUAGGGAAGAAGCAAGACGGUACCUGACUAAGAAGCCCCGGCUAACUACGAGCCAGCAGCCGCGGUAAUACGUAGGGGGCGAGCGCUAUCCGGAUUCAGUGGGUGUAAAGGGAGCGGAGACGGCCAUGCAAGCUAGGGGUGAAAGCCCGGGGUCCAACCCCCGGACGGCUCUAGGAACUGCAUGGCUGGAGUGCGGGAGUGGCAGGCGGAAUUCCAGGUGUAGCGGUGAAAUGCGUAGAUAUCAGGAGGAACACCGGCGGCGAAGGCGGCCUGCUGGACUGCGACUGACGUUGAGGCUCGAAAGCGUGGGGAGCGAACAGGAUUAGAUACCCUUGUAGUC